AUUGAACGCUGGCGGCAGGCCUAACACAUGCAAGUCGAACGAGUGGCGGACGGGUGGGUAAUGUCUGGGAAACUGCCUGAUGGAGGGGGAUAACUACUGGAAACGGUAGCUAAUACCGCAUACCAUCGGAUGUGCCCAGAUGGGAUUAGCUAGUAGGUGGGGUAAAGGCUCACCUAGGCGACGAUCCCUAGCUGGUCUGAGAGGAUGACCGGCCACACUGGAACUGAGACACGGUCCAGACUCCUACGGGAGGCAGCAGUGGGGAAUAUUGCACAAUGGGCGCAAGCCUGAUGGAGCAAUGCCGCGUGUGUGAAGAAGGCGUUCGGGUUGUAAAGUACUGUCAGCGGGGAGGCGUUACCCGCAGAAGAAGCACCGGCUAACUCCGUGCCAGCAGCCGCGGUAAUUC
rnacentral:rRNA from 1 species